rnacentral:rRNA from 1 species
UACGAAGGGGGCUAGCGUUGCUCGGAAUCACUGGGCGUAAAGCGCACGUAGGCGGCUUCUUAAGUCAGGGGUGAAAUCCUGGAGCUCAACUCCAGAACUGCCUUUGAUACUGGGAGGCUCGAGUCCGGAAGAGGUGAGUGGAACUGCGAGUGUAGAGGUGGAAUUCGUAGAUAUUCGCAAGAACACCAGUGGCGAAGGCGGCUCACUGGUCCGGUACUGACGCUGAGGUGCGAAAGCGUGGGGAGCAAACAGG